rnacentral:rRNA from 1 species
GGGGAAUAUUGGACAAUGGGCGCAAGCCUGAUCCAGCCAUGCCGCGUGUGUGAAGAAGGCCUUUUGGUUGUAAAGCACUUUAAGCGAGGAGGAGGCUACUUGGAUUAAUACUCUAGGAUAGUGGACGUUACUCGCAGAAUAAGCACCGGCUAACUCU